GGCUCAGGGAUGUGUUGAAUUAUAGAGAUGCUUAUGCGGCACAAAGAUAAGAUUAAUUUACCCAAAUGUACUAAGAAUUACCACACAACUUAAAUUUACUUAAAUAUUGAUUUGUUAUCCUGUGCCAGACAGAUGGCUGAUAUUCUGAGAAGAGACCUUGAUGAAAUGAAGUUUUUUGGGAACAAAGAUUUUGAAAACACGUCGCAGUGUUUAGAUUUUAACAAAAAAAUAAGGCACCAAGGUCGAAAAUAGUUCUAGUUCAUAAUGAAGAAAAUGUCAACCGUUUUCUAGCUUGGCGAUCUCCGAACGCACCCGAAUAUAAUAGACAAAUACAAUACAAUCAUGAGUACACAAAACGUAACAUAAAGAACUAAAGACCGAGCAACACGAACUCCAACAAAACGGUAUAUAUUUCAUACAAGUAUAGGACCUAGGCAUGAAGCGUCGUAACUGUUGCGGCGACGUCAAUAACGUUGUCGUUGUUUUUUGUUUUUUU
rnacentral:lncRNA from 1 species